CCUACGGUGUGCAGCAGUAGGGAAUAUUGCUCAAUGGGGGAAACCCUGAAGCAGCAACGCCGCGUGGAGGAUGAAGGUUUUAGGAUUGUAAACUCCUUUUGUUAGAGAAGAUUAUGACGGUAUCUAACGAAUAAGCACAGGCUAACUCCGUUCCAGCAGCCGCGGUAAUACGGAGGGUGCAAGCGUUACUCGGAUUCACUGGGCGUAAAGAGUGCGUAGGCGGGGGAAUAAGUUAGAUGUGAAAUCCUGAAGCUUAACUACAGAAUUGCAUUUGAAACUGUUACGCUGGCGUGUGGGAGCGGUAGGUGGAAGUCUUGGUGUAGGGGUAAAAUCCGUAGAGAUCA
rnacentral:rRNA from 1 species